rnacentral:rRNA from 1 species
GACGAACGCUGGCGGCGUGCUUAACACAUGCAAGUCGAACGGAAAGGCCCUGCUUUUGUGGGGUGCUCGAGUGGCGAACGGGUGAGUAACACGUGAGUAACCUGCCCUUGACUUUGGGAUAACUUCAGGAAACUGGGGCUAAUACCGGAUAGGAGCUCCUGCUGCAUGGUGGGGGUUGGAAAGUUUCGGCGGUUGGGGAUGGACUCGCGGCUUAUCAGCUUGUUGGUGGGGUAGUGGCUUACCAAGGCUUUGACGGGUAGCCGGCCUGAGAGGGUGACCGGCCACAUUGGGACUGAGAUACGGCCCAGACUCCUACGGGAGGCAGCAGUGGGGAAUAUUGCACAAUGGGCGGAAGCCUGAUGCAGCAACGCCGCGUGCGGGAUGACGGCCUUCGGGUUGUAAACCGCUUUCGCCUGUGACGAAGCGAGAGUGACGGUAAUGGGUAAAGAAGCACCGGCUAACUACGUG